ACUGAGAGCUCGGUUUCAGUUGGUGGCUGCAGCAGAAGGUCACUUAACAGUAAAAUCAAGCAGCCACUGGACAGACAGCAUCUCCAUCAUCAUCUGGGACAAAACAGGUCCUGCAGCAUAUAAAAUAACACUGGCCCAGAAAGGACGGUCAGCACUGCUUGGAGCACAUAGCAACUGCACCGGGGACCGACAGAAAGUCCUGAGGCAUAUAAAAUCACUUCAGCACUGGCCCAAAAAUCACCGGUAGCAUUACUUGUAGCAACGAUACUGGGGACCAACAAAAAACACCUGGACCCGGAAACCAGCUACACACUCCAGGCCCAGGAGAGUACAGACCCGAAAAGGUGGUAAUGGUCCGGCCUCAUGCACCCAACUUUUCUUUUAGAAUCCGGCACUCAGAUUAUGUUGCACCAUUGAUUGUGGAUGUAGAAGAUUAACCAGUGGAUAAAAAGCACAAUAUGUCAUCUUUUUCUGGUAACCAUCAAAUAUACUACAAAUAAAUAUCAAUCUGACAGCAACAAGUUUUGUGGUCUUUUCUAAUGUAAUUGGUUAAACAAAAAAAAUGUACUAUUUUAUUUUACUGGAAGACCUCUC